CCUACGGGUGGCAGCAGUGGGGAAUAUUGCACAAUGGGGGGAACCCUGAUGCAGCGACGCCGCGUGAGUGAAGAAGUAUUUCGGUAUGUAAAGCUCUAUCAGCAGGGAAGAAAAUGACGGUACUUGACUACGACGCCCCGGCUAACUACGUGCCAGCCGCCUCGGUCAUACGUAGGGGGCAAGCGUUAUCCGGAUUUACUGGGUGUAAGGGGAGCGCAGACGGCUGUGCAAGUCUGGAGUGAAAGGCGGGGGCCCAACCCCCGGACUGCUCUGGAAACUGUAAAGCUGGAGUGCAGGAGAGGUAAGCGGAAUUCCUAGUGUAGCGGUGAAAUGCGUAGAUAUUAGGAGGAACACCAGUGGCGAAGGCGGCUUACUGGACUGCAACUGACGUUGAGGCUCGAAAGCGUGGGGAGCAAACAGGAUUAGAUACCCCGGUAGUC
rnacentral:rRNA from 1 species